AGAGUUUGAUCCUGGCUCAGGAUGAACGCUAGCGGUGUGCCUAAUGCAUGCAAGUCGAACGGGAUCCUUUAGAUUCGUCUUAAGGUGAGAGUGGCGGACGGGUGAGUAACGCGUUGGUGACCUGCCCCAGAGAGGGGGACAACCAUUGGAAACGAUGGCUAAUACCCCAGAUGUCAUUGUGUUUAGAAAACAAUGACUAAACGCUCCGGCGCUCUGGGAGGGGCCUGCGUCCCAUCAGCUAGUUGGUAAGGUAAUGGCUUACCAAGGCAAAGACGGGUAGGGGGCGUGAGAGCGUGACCCCCCACACUGGUACUGAAACACGGACCAGAUACCUACGGGUAGCAGCAGCAAGGAAUAUUGCCCAAUGGACGAAAGUCUGAGGCAGCAACACCGCGUGGAGGACGAAAGCCUUCGGGUUGUAAACUCCUUUUCUGGGGGAAGAGAACGGACGGUACCCCAGGAAUAAGGCCCGGCUAACUACGUGCCAGCAGCCGCGGUAAAACGUAGGGGUCAAGCGUUAUCCGGAUUUACUGGGCGUAAAGAGCAUGUAGGCGGUUGCUUAAGUCGGACGUGAAAGCUCCUGGCUCAACUAGGAGAGGCCGUUCGAAACUAAGUAACUCGAGGAUGGUAGAGGAGAGUGGAAUUCCCGGUGUAGUGGUGAAAUGCGUAGAUAUCGGGAGGAACACCAGUGGCGAAGGCGGCUCUCUGGGCCAUUCCUGACGCUGAGAUGCGAAAGCUAGGGGAGAGAACGGGAUUAGAAACCCCGGUAUUCCUAGCCGUAAACGAUGUCAACUAGGUGUAGGAGGUAUUGACCCCUUCUGUGCUGCAGCAAACGCGUUAAGUUGACCGCCUGGGGAGUACGGCCGCAAGGCUAAAACUCAAAGGAAUUGAUGG
rnacentral:rRNA from 1 species